ensembl:lncRNA
ACUGUGCCAUCAGGUUCCCAAGUUGUCGAAGUCCCUGUGGUCAAAGGUUUUAUUCUUACUACAGUACUACUGAUUGUCCGGACAUGAAUUCGGAUAAUCUGUUCUACGUUUAUUUGUUGGUUAAGCCACGUUCUGGCCUGUUUGUUACGCCAUGUUCCGGCCUCUUUUAAUGCCUGUGUUCAAUUGUUCCAUUAACAUUGAAGGCAUUAAUAUCUCGUCAUUGAGGGUAAGUACAGUUCUUGUUUUGCAUGUUUUUGUUCUUGUUUUUGUAUCCAUUAAGGGUUUGGUAUAGCAAUGUACAAAAAAAGAAGCACAUCAAGAUUGCAGAUAUGAUAAAUUCAGUUGAAAUUACAUCACAUGUCCUACAUGAAGAUGAGGAUUACCCUUGUAGUGAAAACACAACCAAAAUACCACACCCCUAAUGUCAUAGAGUGUCCUACCAGUGUUCUACCAGUUUGCAUGCAGUACUAGUGUUGCUAAUACAUGUAAAUGAAAUGGGGUAUUCAUACAUGUCAUGUACACAUGUCCUUGACAGUACCUCCGGAGUUGCUUGCCUUGGGGUUGCCUUCAAGCAAGAACACAACAUCAGCGCCAAACACCGUGUUGUGUCAAUCUUUACUCCCUGUGAGGUCAGUGUGUUCCACACCUGCUCGUUCCACAGCACCUGCUGUUGCCACAGCAUCCUCUGCCCUGUCUAGAGUACCUGCUCUGUCUACGGCAUCCAGGUCCUCUUCCGCCCUUCCUGCAGCACCUGCUCUGUCGGCGUCGUCAAGGUACGACCAGGAUGUGAUCCGUUGGAACUGCUCUCACCAUCAGAGAAUAUGGAUGAAGACCGAGAUGGAGGCCUUGGGGCUUUGGCCAGGUUCUCGACCGGUGAGACAUCCAAUGAACAUGAUCUCCUUGUGGCGUUACCCACCUCAGCCUGAACUAAUUGACAGUGUUUACGAACUACCAUCGCCCAACUACUUCCAGCUCCAUCCAUUUUUUAUAUGGAAGCCAGAUCACACCAUAAUGGAGCGAGUCAAGAACAAUUACACUCUGCCCUGUCUCUAUGGCUGUGGAAGUCCUUUCAUUGUAUCAUCAGGGGUUGGGCGACCCCGUGUAAUUAUUGGCUUGAGUGGCCAGUAUUAUAUCCUGGCGUCACGGCUCUGUUGCAAAGGAUGCAACAAGUUCUGGCACGCAGACAAGCCGCAAUGGUUGGACAUGUUGCCGAGCCGAUUCACCAAGAUCUUACCAGCUUUCCUUACCUUCAAAAAGGCA